rnacentral:rRNA from 1 species
AGCGAACGCUGGCGGCAGGCCUAACACAUGCCAGUCGAACGAACUCUUCGGAGUUAGUGGCGGACGGGUGAGUAACACGUGGGAACGUGCCUUUUGGUUCGGAAUAACUCAGGGAAACUGGUGCUAAUACCGAAUGUGCCCUUCGGGGGAAGGAUUUAUCGCCAUUAGAGCGGCCCGCGUCUGAUUAGCUAGUUGGUGAGGUAACGGCUCACCAAGGCGACGAUAAGUAGCUGGUCUGAGAGGAUGACCAGCCACACUGGGACUGAGACACGGCCCAGACUCCUACGGGAGGCAGCAGUGGGGAAUCUUGCGCAAUGGGCGAAAGCCUGACGCAGCCAUGCCGCGUGAAUGAUGAAGGUCUUAGGAUUGUAAAAUUCUUUCACCGGGGACGAUAAUGACGGUACCCGGAGAAGAAGCCCCGGCUAACUUCGUG